UUCAGUCCACUCUAAAAUGGAUCUUAGACUAUCUCAAGCUGUGCACUGCAGCGAGGAGUUUGGAACUGAGAGAAAGAGCGAUGAACAUGUAUCAGAAGAGAAAAUAAGCUGCUGCUUGGUGCCUUGUCCUUGUUCUCCCCUCUCAUUUGCUGAUGGCUGAUAACACCUAUCUCCACCAGGGAAGCAACUGGGAAGUUUGCUCCUUC